rnacentral:rRNA from 1 species
GACGAACGCUGGCGGCGUGCUUAACACAUGCAAGUCGAACGGAAAGGCCCUGCUUUUGUGGGGUGCUCGAGUGGCGAACGGGUGAGUAACACGUGAGUAACCUGCCCUUGACUUUGGGAUAACUUCAGGAAACUUGGGCUAAUACCGGAUAGGAGCUCCUGCUGCAUGGUGGGGGUUGGAAAGUUUCGGCGGUUGGGGAUGGACUCGCGGCUUAUCAGCUUGUUGGUGGGGUAGUGGCUUACCAAGGCUUUGACGGGUAGCCGGCCUGAGAGGGUGACCGGCGACAAUGGGACUGAGAUAGGGCCAAGACUCCUACGGGAGGCAGAAGUGGGGAAUAUUGCACAAUGGGCGGAAGCCUGAUGAAGAAACGCCGCGUGCGGGAUGACGGCCUUCGGGUUGUAAACCGAUUUCGCAUGUGACGAAGAGUGAGUGACGGUAAUGGGUAAAGAAGCACCGGCUAACUACGUG